GAUGAACGCUGGCGGCGUGCCUAAUACAUGCAAGUCGAGCGAACAGACGAGGAGCUUGCUCCUCGGACGUUAGCGGCGGACGGGUGAGUAACACGUGGAUAACCUACCUAUAAGACUGGGAUAACUUCGGGAAACCGGAGCUAAUACCGGAUAAUAUAUUGAACCGCAUGGUUCAAUAGUGAAAGACGGUUUUGCUGUCACUUAUAGAUGGAUCCGCGCCGCAUUAGCUAGUUGGUAAGGUAACGGCUUACCAAGGCAACGAUGCGUAGCCGACCUGAGAGGGUGAUAGGCCACACUGGAACUGAGACACGGUCAAGACUCCUACGGGAGGCAGCAGUAGGGAAUCUUCCGCAAUGGGCGAAAGCCUGACGGAGCAACGCCGCGUGAGUGAUGAAGGUCUUCCGAUCGUAAAAAUCUGUUAUUAGGGAAGAACAAAUGUGUAAGUAACUAUGCACGUCUUGACGGUACCUAAUCAGAAAGCCACGGCUAACUACGUG
rnacentral:rRNA from 1 species